rnacentral:rRNA from 1 species
UGGGGAAUAUUGCACAAUGGGCGCAAGCCUGAUGCAGCCAUGCCGCGUGUAUGAAGAAGGCCUUCGGGUUGUAAAGUACUUUCAGCGGGGAGGAAGGGAGUAAAGUUAAUACCUUUGCUCAUUGACGUUACCCGCAGAAGAAGCACCGGCUAACUCCGUGCCAGCAGCCGCGGUAAUACGGAGGGUGCAAGCGUUAAUCGGAAUUACUGGGCGUAAAGCGCACGCAGGCGGUUUGUUAAGUCAGAUGUGAAAUCCCCGGGCUCAACCUGGGAACUGCUUCUGAUACUGGCAAGCUUGAGUCUCGUAGAGGGGGGUAGAAUUCCAGGUGUAGCGGUGAAAUGCGUAGAGAUCUGGAGGAAUACCGGUGGCGAAGGCGGCCCCCUGGACGAAGACUGACGCUCAGGUGCGAAAGCGUGGGGAGCAAACAGG